GCCAGGUGUGGUGACUUAUGCCUGUAGUUCCAGCUGCUUUUGAGGCUGAGGCAGGAGGAUCACUUGAGCCCAGGAGUUCAAGGCUGCAGUGAGCUAUAAUCAUGCCACUGCACUCCAGCCUGGGCAACAGAGUAAGACCCUGUCUCUU
rfam:Homo sapiens chromosome 4, GRCh38 reference primary assembly.